UAAAUUCGUUGAAUAUGCGUACAUAUGCAAUCUCUAUUCACAGUUUCCCCUCCCAGAUUAAGAUUUUUGAACACAACAGUAGCAAUUAUUUUGUCAAUUCUAAGGGCACACUCAGUUGGAGCUGACAUUGAUAUCUAUCGUCCAGCACAAUUUUCAGUCGGCAAUUCCUGCUACCUUGUCCUCUCUCCUCUUUCAUUCUGCAAUUUGUUUUCCUAAUUCCUAUAAAUUCAACACUAUCUGAUUCUAACCCACCAUCUUCAAUUCAUCAUCCAUAUGGCCACACCUACCACUUCUACCAAGCUCCUACUCUCUGACUUUGCAUCCACUGUUCAAAAUGUUCCCUCUAAUUAUAUCAGACCCAUCAAUGAGCGUCCAAAUCUCACACAAGCCCAAGUAUCAGAUGCUUCUUCUGUUCCUCUUAUCGACCUUGAUGGUCUUGACGGCCCCUGCCACUCUGAAAUCAUCGAACAGAUUGGUUUAGCAUGCCAACACGAGGGUUUCUUUCAGGUGAAGAACCACGGAAUUUCAGGGGAAAUGAUCAAUAACAUGUUAAACAUUGCAAGAAAAAUUUUCAAACUGCCAGAGAGUGAGAGGUUGAAGAGUUACUCUGAUGACUCUUCUAAAACCACUAGACUCUCCACUAGUUUUCCUGUUAAGACCGAAAAGGUGGCCAACUGGAGAGGUUUCUUGAGACUUCAUUGUUACCCUCUUCAAGACUCAAUCUGGGAAACUGUUGACAAAUUUUCUUGCAAUGUUUAACAUGUUAUUAGGCUCUGUUUUCAUCAAUUGUCAUCUUAUGCAAAGUGAACAAUAACCAACACCCCAGAAACCACAGCCUUUGAAGAAGUUUCUAUUCUGCUUUCAGACUGAGGCUAAUUUGGUAAUCCCAAGGAUGCAAUGAAACAAGAAAACAGGUUAUUGGUAAUUGAUAUUCUAUAUACUUCUUUAAUGCUUCAUUUCAAAUGUUGUACUUUAUAUGUUGCAGGGGAGGGGAAGAUUCACUUCAAAUGGUUACAAAGUAAGCUGUUUGAUCUCUGCUUUAAUUUUCCAUGUGGAGAAAUGAAGUUUAAUGCUUUGUUUUCCAUCUUCUGGUUUGUUUUCUUGCCUUUUCCGGUGAUGUAGUGGAGCAAGUUUAGCAGACCUUGAUUUUCUUUUAGAAUCAAACUGAAAGGCGAAGUAUAAUACAAAAGUAAUUUGAUUCUCCUUCACCUAGGCUUCAGAUUUCAUCUUCAAAAGGUUCAUGUCAUGCAAAAAUAGAAAAGAAUAUCUAUCAUUUUUGCACCAUUUAAGUGACAAAUUCAUGGUUAAUACUGAGAAUGAUGCAAAUCCUGGAAUUAUGCCUUAGAAUUAAGCUAGAGGACCUGAUAUGUGGCUGUAUGAAGAAUAUCUUGCCGCUGCUGCUGAAAUGUUGUUGUUGUUGUUGCUGGAAUGCUGCUAUUGUUGUUUCUCAUUUUAAUUGCAGUUAUUUCUUAAUUAUUGUUUGAUUGUUUUAAGUCAGUCUUUAGCUUUGUACCUUUCACAUAUUUUACUCCUAGAUUUGAUUGCCUAAACUUUAGCUUGGAUUAGCU